rnacentral:rRNA from 1 species
GUACACUCCUACGGGAGGCAGCAGUGGGGAAUUUUACGCAAUGGGGGAAACCCUGACGUAGCGACACCGCGUGAGCGAAGAAGCCCUUUGGGGUGUAAAGCUCUGUCAGCUGGAACGAAAACAAUGACGGUACCAGCAGAGGAAGCAUCGGCUAACUACGUGCCAGCAGCCGCGGUAAGACGUAGGAUGCGAGCGUUGUCCGGAUUUAUUGGGCGUAAAGAGUUCGUAGGUGGUUUGUUAAGUUUGGUGUUAAAGAUCGGGGCUCAACCCUGGGACUGCACUGAAUACUGGCAGACUCGAGUGUGGUAGAGGCUAGUGGAAUUCCCAGUGUAGCGGUGAAAUGCGUAGAUAUUGGGAAGAACACCGGUGGCGUAGGCGACUAGCUGGGCCAUAACUGACGCUGAGGAACGAAAGCCAGGGGAGCGAAUGGGAUUAGAUACCCCUGUAGUCCC